UACGUAGGGUGCGAGCGUUGUCCGGAAUUAUUGGGCGUAAAGGGCUCGUAGGCGGUUUGUCGCGUCGGGAGUGAAAACACUGGGCUUAACUCAGUGCUUGCUUCCGAUACGGGCAGACUAGAGGUAUUCAGGGGAGAACGGAAUUCCAGGUGUAGCGGUGAAAUGCGUAGAUAUCUGGAGGAACACCGGUGGCGAAGGCGGCAUCCUGGACCGGUAUUGACACUGAAAAGCGAAAGCCAGGGGAGCAAACGGG
rnacentral:rRNA from 1 species